rnacentral:rRNA from 1 species
UUGGGGGUACUCGAGUGGCGAACGGGUGAGUAACACGUGAGUAACCUGCCCUUGACUUCGGGAUAACUUCAGGAAACUGGGGCUAAUACCGGAUAGGACCACAUUUUGGAUGGUGUGGUGGAAAGUUUUUCGGUGUGGGAUGAGCUCGCGGCCUAUCAGCUUGUUGGUGGGGUAAUGGCCUACCAAGGCGUCGACGGGUAGCCGGCCUGAGAGGGUGUACGGCCACAUUGGGACUGAGAUACGGCCCAG